GUUGCCUUCAGUAGUGCAAUGUUUAAAUAAUCCCACUUCUCAGGGACUUUAUUUAAUCUGCUCCAGUCUGAUAAUGACUCCUUUACACACAUUCUAAUUCAAGAAAAAUCUGUUUUUAUAGUUUAAAACUUUUGUUUUUGUGUGGUGUGACUCAUUCACUGUUCUUAUAUUAAACCACACUGACUGAUGAUCACUGGAUCCUAAAUGUUCA